ACGCUCGACACCUACGGGAGGUAGCAGUGGGGAAUAUUGGGCAAUGGGCGAAAGCCUGACCCAGCAACGCCGCGUGAGGGAAGAAGGUUUUCGGAUUGUAAACCUCUGUCCUCAGGGACGAAGGACGUGACGGUACCUGAGGAGGAAGCCCCGGCUAACUACGUGCCCGCAGCCGCGGUAAUCUGAGCGGGCUGGCAAGGC
rnacentral:rRNA from 1 species